GAUGAACGCUGGCGGCGUGCCUAAUACAUGCAAGUCGAGCGAACAGACGAGGAGCUUGCUCCUCUGACGUUAGCGGCGGACGGGUGAGUAACACGUGGAUAACCUACCUAUAAGACUGGGAUAACUUCGGGAAACCGGAGCUAAUACCGGAUAAUAUAUUGAACCGCAUGGUUCAAUAGUGAAAUACGGUUUUGCUGUCACUUAUAGAUGGAUCCGCGCCGCAUUAGCUAGUUGGUAAGGUAACGGCUUACCAAGGCAACGAUGCGUAGCCGACCUGAGAGGGUGAUCGGCCACACUGGAACUGAGACACGGUCCAGACUCCUACGGGAGGCAGCAGUAGGGAAUCUUCCGCAAUGGGCGAAAGCCUGACGGAGCAACGCCGCGUGAGUGAUGAAGGUCUUCGGAUCGUAAAACUCUGUUAUUAGGGAAGAACAAAUGUGUAGGUAACUAUGCACGUCUUGACGGUACCUAAUCAGAAAGCCACGGCUAACUACGUG
rnacentral:rRNA from 1 species